AGCGAACGCUGGCGGCAGGCUUAACACAUGCAAGUCGAGCGGGCAUCUUCGGAUGUCAGCGGCAGACGGGUGAGUAACACGUGGGAACGUACCCUUCGGUUCGGAACAACUCUGGGAAACUGGAGCUAAUACCGGAUACGCCCUUAUGGGGAAAGGUUUACUGCCGAAGGAUCGGCUCGCGUCUGAUUAGCUAGUUGGUGGGGUAACGGCCUACCAAGGCGACGAUCAGUAGCUGGUCUGAGAGGAUGAUCAGCCACACUGGGACUGAGACACGGCCCAGACUCCUACGGGAGGCAGCAGUGGGGAAUAUUGGACAAUGGGCGCAAGCCUGAUCCAGCCAUGCCGCGUGAGUGAUGAAGGCCUUAGGGUUGUAAAGCUCUUUUGUCCGGGACGAUAAUGACGGUACCGGAAGAAUAAGCCCCGGCUAACUUCGUG
rnacentral:rRNA from 1 species